GGCAGCAGCUAAGAAUAUUCCGCAAUGCACGAAAGUGUGACGGAGCGACGCCGCGUGGACGAUGAGGGCCGGAAGGUUGUAAAGUCCUUUUUAAUAUGAGGAAUAAGGAAGGUGAGAGAAACGCCUUCUGGUGACUGUAGUAUUAGAAUAAGGGGCGGCUAAUUACGUGCCAGCAGCCGCGGUAACACGUAAGCCCCGAGCGUUGUUCGGAAUUAUUGGGCGUAAAGGGCAUGUAGGCGGUUUUGCAAGUCUGGUGUGAAAGGCAGGAGCUCAACUCCUGGACUGCGCUGGAAACUGCAUGACUUGAGUUUCUGAGGGGCACUCGGAAUUCCUGGUGUAGGGGUGAAAUCUGUAGAUAUCAGGAAGAACACCGGUGGCGAAGGCGGGGUGCCAGCAGAAGACUGACGCUGAGGUGCGAAGGUGCGGGGAGCAAACAGGAUUAGAUACCCUGGUAGUCCGCACAGUCAACGAUGCACACUGGGUGUCCGCGCAUAAGCGUGGGUGCCGAAGCAAACGCGAUAAGUGUGCCGCCUGGGGAGUAUGCCCGCAAGGGUGAAACUCAAAGGAAUUGACGG
rnacentral:rRNA from 1 species